rnacentral:rRNA from 1 species
ACCGUGGGUUCGAUUCCGGAGAGGAGCUGAGAAUCGGCUACCACAUCCAAGGAAGGCAGCAGGCGCGCAAAUUACCCAAUCGUGACACAGGGAGGUAGUGACAAUAAAUAACAAUACCGGGCAUUUGGUCUGGUAAUUGGAAUGAGUACAACAUAAACACCUUAACGAGGAUCAAUUGGAGGGCAAGUCUGUGCCAGCAGCCGCGGUAAUUCUAGCUCCAAUAGCGUAUAUGUAAGUUGCUGCAGUUAAAAAGCUAGUAGUUGGAUUUCGGGUGGGGCUUGCCGGUCCGCCGUUUCGGUGUGCACUGGCCGGGCCCACCUUGUUGCCGGGGACGGGCUCCUGGGCUUUAUUGUCCGGGACUCGGAGUCGGAGAGGUUACUUUGAGUAAAUUAGAGUGUUCAAAGCAGGCCACCGCUCUGAAUACAUUAGCAUGGAAUAACAUGAUAGGACUCUGGCCUAUCUUGUUGGUCAGUAGGACCGGAGUAAUGAUUAAGAGGGACAGUCGGGGGCAUUAGUAUUUCAUUGUCAGAGCUGAAAUUGUUGGAUUUAUGAAAGACGAAGUACUGCGAAAGCAUUUGCCAAGGAUGUUUUCAUUAAUCAAGAACGAAAGUUGGGGGCAGAAGACGAUUAGACACCGUCAUAGUCUCAGCCAUAAACGAUGCCGAAUAGGGAUCGGCGGGUGUUUUUUUGAUGACCCCGCCGGCACCUUAUCAGGAAUCAAAGUUUUGGGGUUCCGGGGGGAGUAAGGUUGCAAGGAUUAAAAUUAAAGGAAAGACGGAAGGGCACCACCAGGGGGGAGCCUGCGGCUUAAUUGACUCAACACGCAA